UACAGAGGUCUCAAGCGUUGUUCGGAUUCAUUGGGCGUAAAGGGUGCGUAGGCGGCGCGGUAAGUCGGGUGUGAAAUCUCGGAGCUUAACUCCGAAACUGCAUUCGAUACUGCCGUGCUUGAGGACUGGAGAGGAGACUGGAAUUUACGGUGUAGCGGUGAAAUGCGUAGAUAUCGUAAGGAAGACCAGUGGCGAAGGCGGGUCUCUGGACAGUUCCUGACGCUGAGGCACGAAAGGUCAGGGGGAGCAAAACGGGG
rnacentral:rRNA from 1 species